rfam:Pseudomonas brenneri strain RGCB 108 Contig025, whole genome shotgun sequence.
GGGCACCCCGGCAUGGAUGCCGGGUAGCCGCGACACGGCCAUGGAUGGCCGAUCGCGGCGGGCCC